CCUACGGGAGGCAGCAGUAGGGAAUAUUGGGCAAUGGAGGCAACUCUGACCCAGCCAUGCCGCGUGAACGAAGAAGGCGCUAUGCGUCGUAAAGUUCUUUUAGAGGGGGCGAAAACACUUGAUUCAUCAAGUACUGACGGUACCUUCGGAAUAAGCACCGGCUAACUCUGUGCCAGCAGCCGCGGUAAUACAGAGGGUGCAAGCGUUAUCCGGAAUCACUGGGUUUAAAGGGUGCGUAGGCGGGAUUAUAAGUCAGAGGUGAAAUCUCGUCGCUUAACGACGGAAUUGCCUUUGAUACUGUUUUUCUUGAAAUUUGUUGAGGUUGGCGGAAUGAGACAUGUAGCGGUGAAAUGCUUAGAUAUGUCUUAGAACACCGAUUGCGAAGGCAGCUGACUGGACAAUAUUUGACGCUGAGGCACGAAAGCGUGGGGAUCAAACAGGAUUAGAUACCCUGGUAGUCCACGCCCUAAACGAUGUUUACUUGCUGUUUGUCUUUCGGGAUGAGUGGCGAAGCGAAAGCGAUAAGUAAACCACCUGGGGAGUACGCCCGCAAGGGUGAAACUCAAAUGAAUUGACGGCUGAGAGNGCGAGACGACGACGAGGGAGAGG
rnacentral:rRNA from 1 species